GUGCACGGCCGAAGGAGAAUGAAAGCGACCAGGGCUUCUUACCCUCCAGCUUGUUCAUAGCAUUUAGGUUCAAGGUUGCCUCCUCCUCACUCUGCCCCCCAGAGAGGAAGACAAUGGCGGGCACCGCAGCUGGGACCGUCCUCUGGAGAGCCCGUACGGUGUACUCAGCCACCACCUCUGGUGCCACCUUUGCUGAUUCUGACCCUGGGGUUACCAUGUUUGGCUUGAGGAGAGUCCCUUCCAAAAGAACAUGGUGGUCGUUGAGUGCCUUGUAGCAAGCAGCAAGCACCCUCUCUGUCACAUCAGCACACUUCUUGAUGCAGUGUGGCCCAUCGACAAGGAUCUCAGGCUCUACAAUGGGGACCAGGCCAUUCUCCUGGCAGAUGAUAGCAUACCGGGCCAAUCCCUGAGCAUUUAAAUCGAUCGCCAGCUGAGACGGCUCCGUCGGACCAAUCUUGAGGACAGCACGCCACUUGGCGAAGCGCGCACCUGCCUCAUAGUAUUUCUUGCAGCGCUUGGCAAGGUCAUCAUGGCCCUGAGUGGUAG
rnacentral:lncRNA from 1 species